rnacentral:rRNA from 1 species
UACGUAGGGGGCAAGCGUUGUCCGGAUUUAUUGGGCGUAAAGAGCGUGUAGGCGGUCAGGUAGGUCCGUUGUGAAAACUCGAGGCUCAACCUCGAGACGCCGAUGGAAACCAUCUGACUAGAGUCCGGAAGAGGAGAGUGGAAUUCCUGGUGUAGCGGUGAAAUGCAUAGAUAUGUCACAGAACACCAAUUGCGAAGGCAGCUUACUAUGGUGGUAUUGACACUGAGGCACGAAAGCGUGGGGAUCAAACAGG